GGUGAGGGGGUAUUGUUAUCAAAGAGGGACAGCUCCUGAGACCUCACAACAGUGGCUGUCUACUCCCAAUACUGGGUCAGUGCCCAGUUACCAGAACAGGACUUCAUGUAAAGAGCUGUUAAGGAAAGUUAGCUAGGUAGCUUAAAAAGUCAGGAAGAGCCCAAAGACUGACAGGUUUCUGGCAUGUGUAGUCCCCAGAGGAAGUAGUUCAUGGGACAGUCCUGAGGUUGAGGUCCGGGACAUGCCGCAGUUACCUGUGUACCCCUCCCAGAGGCUGCUACUCUGCCCUGGCAGAGCAACUGGUGUUAAUGGAGGAGGGAGUGGUGUGGCAGAAGCCUACACAGGCAGUCAAUAUCAGAAGGCAGAGUCUCUGGUUUAACUUGGAAAAAAACAAAAUCCUGAAGACUCAUGAUGACUGGGACUUGCUGGACAGAGAUGGUGGAGAGCCUCUGCUGUGGUCCCUGGGUGUGGAGACAGAGAACAAAGGAAGAAUGAAGAGGAGGGGGCGGGGCCUCUUUGCAGCUACCUAAAGGAGGCCAGAGACUAGGUAUGCCCCGAACCCUGGGCUCCUGAUGAAUUCCAGAGCAAGUGAGCUUAUGAAGAGACUUUAAGAGUCUUUGAUGAGGGCUGGUGAGAUGGCUCAGUGGGUAAGAGCACCCGACUGCUCUUCUGAAGGUCUGAAGUUCAAAUCCCAGCAACCACAUGGUGGCUCACAACCACCCGUAAUGAGAUCUGAUGCCCUCUUCUGGUGUAUCUGAAGACAGCUAUAGUGUACUUACAUAUGAUAAAUAAAUAAAUAAAUCUU
rnacentral:lncRNA from 1 species